rnacentral:rRNA from 1 species
GGCUUAUUGAGGAUAAUAUUAAGUCGAUCUGCCCAAUGAUUUAAAUUUAAUGGCUGCAGUAUAAUUAACUGUACAAAGGUAGCAUAAUCAAUUGUUUUUUAAAUGGAAACUUGGAUGAAAGAAUUAAUGAGAUAUAUACUGUCUCAUAUAUAUUUAAUUAAAUUAAAUAUUUAGUAAAAAUGCUGAAAUUAUUUUAUGGGACGAUAAGACCCUAUAGAAUUUUAUAUUUAUAUUUAAAUUAAAUUUAAUUUUGGAUAUAAAUAUUUGAUUGGGAGGAUUGGUAAAUUAAUUUAACUUUAUUUAAAAUGUAAACUUUGAUUUAAGAAUUAUUUUUUGAUCUUUUAUUAAAAAAAAAAGAAAAAAUUACCUUAGGGAUAACAGCGUAAUAUCUUUUUAAAGAUCAAAUUGAUAAAGAUGAUUGCGACCUCGAUGUUGAAUUAAGAUAAAUUUUAAAUGGAGAAAUUUAAUGAUUAAGUCUGUUCGACUUUUAAAAUCUU